rnacentral:rRNA from 1 species
AAAUGAAUAGACGGGGACCCGCACAAGCGGUGGAGCAUGUGGUUUAAUUCGACGCAACGCGAAGAACCUUACCAAGGCUUGACAUCCCUUGACGAUCUAAGAGAUUAGAUUUUCUUUUCGGAGACAAGGAGACAGGUGGUGCACGGUUGUCGUCAGCUCGUGUCGUGAGAUGUUGGGUUAAGUCCCGCAACGAGCGCAACCCCUACAGUUAGUUGCCAUCAUUAAGUUGGGCACUCUAGCAGGACUGCCGCGGACAACGCGGAGGAAGGUGGGGAUGACGUCAAAUCAUCAUGCCCCUUAUGUCUUGGGCUACACACGUGCUACAAUGGACAGUACAGAGGGUUGCGAAGCCGCGAGGUGAAGCCAAUCCCAAAAAGCUGUUCUCAGUUCGGAUUGCAGGCUGCAACUCGCCUGCAUGAAGUCGGAAUCGCUAGUAAUCGCAGGUCAGCAUACUGCGGUGAAUACGUUCCCGGGUCUUGUACACACCGCCCGU